UGAGAUGCCGUUUCACGUCCCGGAAACGUCUUGGGGACGGAAUCCUCAAAGGGUCGCCGGCGAGACGUCUCACUGCCGUUUCAUGAACAACGGAGUCGGCAACCCAAAACAUGAAACGGGACGUGUUGAAAUUAGAGAAGUUUCAGAAACGUAUCAUGAAUAUUUAAGCGCACAUGUUAAAUAAAUAACAAAUUAAUUAUUUUUUCAAUAAAAAUUCAAACAAAAAAAGGAAUUUUAAGAGACAUCUAGGGUUUUUACCAUAAUAUAAGCGAUUCAAUCUCCUUCUUCUUUUUUUUUUUGUCCACAACUCAUCGCCUUCUCUAAAGCUGUCUAAAGUCUAAACUCUCAUCAAGGAACCAACACCUUCUCUUAUCAACACUGAAACGCUUUCACGAUCGUUCAUCAGUCAUCAGUCAUCACGUUACUGUAAGUUAAUUUUCUUCUUCUUCUUCUUCUUCUUCUUCUUCUUCUUCUUCUUCUUCUUCUUCUUCUUCUUUU
rnacentral:lncRNA from 1 species